rnacentral:misc_RNA from 1 species
AAGAGCUCUAAAAAGCUUCUGUGUUAAGAGUAUGCCGGGGAAGGUUUUCCGGUUUAUCCCGGAGGGCUUGUAGCUCAGUUGGUUAGAGCGCGCGCUUGAUAAGCGUGAGGUCGGAGGUUCAAGUCCUCCCAGGCCCACCAAUCACUCUAUCAAUUUCAUAAAGCGCUAGCGAGCUUGCUUAUAGGCAAGAAGUCUAUAAACCGAUAAAGCCUAUAAUUUUGUAAGAAACUUACAUAACUUUCUGGGAAAGGGCCUUAAGUACACUUGUAAAAGGACUGAAGAGUGAUGUGAACACUUAAAAUGAGGUUACUCUUUGAGAGGUCCGUAGAGAAAAGACAUUUGUUUUAGCAAGGUGUUUACAAAGGGCAUUAAGAGAGGAGCUUUACUGUUUGCUUUCAGCAAUUGAGAAUCAAAGCUCUUUAAAGGCAAAGUAUCCCAUUUAAAUUGGUCUUUCCUGUAAGUCUUCUUAUUUUGAGAGUUUGGAAUGGGUUAUGCUAUUUUAGGGGCCGUAGCUCAGCUGGGAGAGCACCUGCUUUGCAAGCAGGGGGU